rnacentral:rRNA from 1 species
AGUGAACGCUGGCGGUAGGCCUAACACAUGCAAGUCGAACGGCAGCACAGGAGAGCUUGCUCUCUGGGUGGCGAGUGGCGGACGGGUGAGGAAUACAUCGGAAUCUACCUUUUCGUGAGGGAUAACGUAGGGAAACUUACGCUAAUACCGCAUACGACCUACGGGUGAAAGUGGGAGACCGCAAGGCCUCACGCGAUUAGAUGAGCCGAUGUCCGAUUAGCUAGUUGGAGGGGUAAUGGCCCACCAAGGCGACGGUCGGUAGCUGGUCUGAGAGGAUGAUCAGCCACACUGGAACUGAGACACGGUCCAGACUCCUACGGGAGGCAGCAGUGGGGAAUAUUGGACAAUGGGCGCAAGCCUGAUCCAGCCAUACCGCGUGGGUGAAGAAGGCCUCCGGGUUGUAAAGCCCUUUUGUUGGGAAAGAAAUCCUGUCGAUUAAUACUCGGUGGGGAUGACGGUACCCAAAGAAUAAGCACCGGCUAACUUCGUGCCAGCAGCCGCCGUAAUAC